AGAGUUUGAUCCUGGCUCAGAUUGAACGCUGGCGGCAGGCCUAACCAAGUCGGGCGAGAAAUCACUUCGGUGUGAGUAGAGCGGCGGACGGGGGAGUAACGCGUAGGAAUUUGCCCAGUAGUGGGGGACAACAUGUGGAAACGCAUGCUAAUACCGCAUACGCCCUACGGGGGAAAGCAGGGGAUCUUCGGACCUUGCGCUAUUGGAGAAGCCUGCGUCGGAUUAGCUAGUUGGUGGGGUAAAGGCCCACCAAGGCGACGAUCCGUAGCUGGUCUGAGAGGAUGAUCAGCCACACUGGGACUGAGAUAUGGCCCAGACUCCUAUGGGAGGCAGCAGUGGGGAAUAUUGGACAAUGGGGGUAACCCUGAUCCAGCCAUGCCGCGUGUGUGAAGAAGGCCUUAGGGUUGUAAAGCACUUUCAGUAGGGAGGAAAAGUUAGUCGUUAAUAGCUGGCAGCUGUGACGUUACCCACAGAAUAAGCACCGGCUAACUCCGUGCCAGCAGCCGCGGUAAUACGGAGGGUGCAAGUGUUAAUCGGAAUUACUGGGCGUAAAGCGCGCGUAGGUGGCAAAGUAAGUUGGGUGUGAAAUCCCCGGGCUCAACCUGGGAACUGCAUUCAAAACUGCUUCGCUAGAGUACGGUAGAGGGAGGUAGAAUUUCAGGUGUAGCGGUGAAAUGCGUAGAGAUCUGAAGGAAUACCAGUGGCGAAGGCGGCCUCCUGGACUGAUACUGACACUGAGGUGCGAAAGCGUGGGGAGCAAACAGGAUUAGAUCCCCUGGUAGUCCACGCCGCAAACGAUGUCUACUAGCCGUAGGGCCCCUUAGAGGGUUUUGUGGCGCAGCUAACGCACUAAGUAGACCGCCUGGGGAGUACGGCCGCAAGGUUAAAACUCAAAUGAAUUGACGGGGGCCCGCACAAGCGGUGGAGCAUGUGGUUUAAUUCGAUGCAACGCGAAGAACCUUACCAGGGCUUGACAUCCUGCGAAUUUUCUAGAGAUAGAUUAGUGCCUUCGGGAACGCAGUGACAGGUGCUGCAUGGCUGUCGUCAGCUCGUGUCGUGAGAUGUUGGGUUAAGUCCCGUAACGAGCGCAACCCUUGUCCUUAGUUGCCAGCGAGUAAUGUCGGGAACUCUAAGGAGACUGCCGGUGACAAACCGGAGGAAGGUGGGGACGACGUCAAGUCAUCAUGGCCCUUACGGGGUGGGCUACACACGUGCUACAAUGGUCGGUACGGAGGGUUGCAAUGUCGCGAGGCGGAGCUAAUCUCAGAAAGCCGAUCGUAGUCCGGAUUGCAGUCUGCAACUCGACUGCAUGAAGUUGGAAUCGCUAGUAAUCGCGAAUCAGAAUGUCGCGGUGAAUACGUUCCCGGGCCUUGUACACACCGCCCGUCACACCAUGGGAGUGGGUUGCAAAAGAAGUGGGUAGUCUAACCUUCGGGAGGGCGCUCACCACUUUGUGAUUCAUGACUGGGGUGAAGUCAUAACAAGGUAGCC
rnacentral:rRNA from 1 species